CCUACGGGGGGCAGCAGUCGAGAAUCAUUCACAAUGGGGGAAACCCUGAUGGUGCGACGCCGCGUGGGGGAAUGAAGGUCUUCGGAUUGUAAACCCCUGUCAUGUGGGAGCAAAUUAAAAAGAUAGUACCACAAGAGGAAGAGACGGCUAACUCUGUGCCGGCAGCCGCGGUAAUACAGAGGUCUCAAGCGUUGUUCGGAAUCACUGGGCGUAAAGCGUGCGUAGGCUGUUUCGUAAGUCGUGUGUGAAAGGCGCGGGCUCAACCCGCGGACGGCACAUGAUACUGCGAGACUAGAGUAAGGGAGGGGGAACCGGAAUUCUCGGUGUAGCAGUGAAAUGCGUAGAUAUCGAGAGGAACACUCGUGGCGAAGGCGGGUUCCUGGACAUUAACUGACGCUGAGGCACGAAGGCCAGGGGAGCGAAAGGGAUUAGAUACCCCAGUAGUC
rnacentral:rRNA from 1 species